UACAGAGGGUGCGAGCGUUGUCCGGAAUCACUGGGCGUAAAGGGCGCGUAGGCGGCUUUUCAAGCGUGCGGUGAAAGCUCGGGGCUUAACUCCGAGUCUGCCGUGCGAACUGGGAGGCUUGAGUCUGGUAGAGGUCGAUGGAAUUCCGGGUGUAGCGGUGGAAUGCGUAGAUAUCUGGAAGAACACCGGUGGCGAAGGCGGUGGUCUGGGCCAAAACUGACGCUGAGGAGCGAAAGCCAGGGGAGCAAACGGG
rnacentral:rRNA from 1 species